CACGCCCUAAACGAUGUCAACUAGCUGUUGGGGGUUGAAAUCCUCAGUAGCGCAGCUAACGCGAGAAGUUGACCGCCUGGGGAGUACGACCGCAAGGUUAAAACUCAAAGGAAUUGACGGGGACCCGCACAAGCGGUGGAUGAUGUGGAUUAAUUCGAUGCAACGCGAAAAACCUUACCUGGUCUUGACAUGCUAAGAAUUUCUUAGAGAUAGGAAAGUGCCCGAAAGGGAACUUAGACACAGGUGC
rnacentral:rRNA from 1 species